GCUUGACUGUAUCCUGGAAUUGGGUUCGGUUUUUCUUGCGCAGUCUAGGUGGGAGGCUAUGAAGAUUUCCUUCCGGGGAAAUUAGAGCCAUCAGUGAGAGACCACUCUGGAAGAACUAAAAUUCUAAUGGCGUUCCUUGAAUCAGGACACUUGACAGUUUCAGGUGGGCAGUUUGACUGGGGCGGUCGCCUCCUAAAAGGUAACGGAGGCGCGCAAAGGUUCUCUCAGGCUGGUUGGAAAUCAGCCAUAGAGUGUAAAGGCAUAAGAGAGCUUGACUGUGAGACCUACAAGUCGAACAGGGACGAAAGUCGGUCUUAGUGAUCCGACGGCAGAGCGUGGAAUCGCCGUCGCUAAACGGAUAAAAGUUA
rnacentral:rRNA from 1 species